ensembl:snoRNA
GAUCAAUAAUGAAAGUAGUCAAAUCUGAACAUCAGAAAACCUCUUAGUUUACCAGAUGCAUGGUCUUUAUAGUUCCAAAA